rnacentral:rRNA from 1 species
CCUACGGGGGGCAGCAGUGGGGAAUAUUGGACAAUGGGCGAAAGCCUGAUCCAGCCAUGCCGCGUGUGUGAAGAAGGCCUUCGGGUUGUAAAGCACUUUCAGUGGGGAAGAAAGCCUUGGGGCUAAUACCCUCGAGGAAGGACAUCACCCACAGAAGAAGCACCGGCUAACUCCGUGCCAGCAGCCGCGGUAAUACGGAGGGUGCGAGCGUUAAUCGGAAUUACUGGGCGUAAAGCGCGCGUAGGCGGUCUGAUAAGCCGGUUGUGAAAGCCCCGGGCUCAACCUGGGAACGGCAUCCGGAACUGUCAGGCUAGAGGGCAGGAGAGGAAGGUAGAAUUCCCGGUGUAGCGGUGAAAUGCGUAGAGAUCGGGAGGAAUACCAGUGGCGAAGGCGGCCUUCUGGACUGAAACUGACGCUGAGGUGCGAAAGCGUGGGUAGCAAACAGGAUUAGAUACCCCAGUAGU